rnacentral:sRNA from 1 species
CACUGUCCUCAGUGUUGGGGUUUGGCUCUCCUCUUGGUGGUAACUCUCGUCCGCUUCUUAGAGUGAUUGCGUGGGCAUACUCCUUUGAAUUAUGUAUUGGUUUCCCUGGGAUAUAACCUGGUGUGGUUGAUGUAGAAGCGGUUGUGCCUUCUAUAUAUUGUACCCUUUUGUUCAAUGAUGCCAUUCCGCUACUCAGUUCAUUGAACUGUCUGUCAAAUUUGUUGUUUAAGUCAGCCAGCUUCUUAGCGGAUUCCAUUACCCCUGCGGCUUGGCCUUGCAUGAUCUGUUGGAGCAUAUUCUUGAUGUCUGAUUCCUGGGGUGCAGAGGCCUGAUGUUGUUGUGGUGUGAAACCAGGUGGUGGCUGUUGCUGUUGAUACCCUCCUUGGAACUGUUGCUUAGGAACGAACCCUUGGCUUUGGUUGUAAGUAACAAACGGUUUGGGUUGGUUCUGCUGCAGCUGCUGUUGAGGGUAAACUUGGUCCUUAGGAUUGGCGACAUCUGUGCUUCUGUAUGACAGAUUUGGGUUGGGUCUGUAAUUGUUAUACCCUUUGUUGUAGCUGCCUUGGUUCUGAACAUAACUGAUUUCAGCGCCCUGAUCAUUCUCCCCCUCUUGGAUUUGGAAUACUUCGUCUUCAGAGGCGAAGUGAACAUGCUUCUGCUGCACUUGGAGGAGUUUGUCGAUUUUAUCAUGGAGAGCUUUAAUCUCUCGGCGGUGCUUGUCAUCAGAUUCAGUACUGGUGCGGAUGCUUCUGUCAUAAUCCUCGUUGUAAUUGCCAUCCGACUGAGCCAAGUUUUCAACUAGCUCCCAUCCGUCUUCGACAUCCUUGUUCAGGAAAUUCCCGUUGGAGGCGGUGUCAAGGAGCAUACGUAUCUUAGGCAGGACGCCUCUGUAAAGUGUGCUGAGAAGAGAUGCUUCCUUAAAUCCGUGAUGAGGGCAUUUGGUUUGAUAACCCUUAAAGCGCUCCCAAGCUUCACAGAAGCUUUCAUUUUGCUUCUGAGUGAAUCCGGAUAUCUCGUUCCGGAGUCUUGCAGUCCUGGAGUUGGAGAAGAAUUUUGCCAAGAAGGCCUUUUUGCAGUCAUCCCAGGUCGUGAUUGAUCCCUGGGGUAGCGUUUUUUCCCACAGAUGGGCUUUAUCUCCAAGUGAAAAUGGGAACAAGCGAAGCUUGAAACCAUCUUCACUAACUCCAUUGAUUUUAGUAAGGCCACAGAGCCUUUCAAACUCGUCAAGAUGAUCUAGCGGAUCCUCCAUUGGCAGGCCAUGAAACUUGUUCCCCUGAACCAUAGCAAUGAGACCGCUUUUGAUCUCAAAGUUGUUGUUCUGUACUGGAGGUGGAACGAUUCCAUGACGCUGGUUGUGGUUGUGAGGGAAGUCACCAGCACCAAUGUUGGUAGGUUGCUCUUGCUCAUCUACAACGUCAGCCAUUGUGUCUGUUUCUGUCUGUUCUCUUAGUUGGCGAGCAAUACGGUCGAUGUUAUCGUUGAAUAGGAGGUUCUGAUUUCCUUGUGACCGUGUAUGCAUGCAACAGAUAGCAGCCGUGCUAUAACAGACGAAUCAGAGAUGCGUCUAGAAAGCAGGUUGCAAGGUACCUGAAACACAAAGACAGAAAAGGCACAAUGUUAGUAACUUGUGUAACAAAAACGAACUUGAUCUUAAUGUUUCUAAUGAUCUCAAAUAUAGCAAACAAACACCAAACUGGCAACGGCGCCAAAUUGAUAGUAAGAUUUUUGUCAAUUAAUCCCUAAAACACUAUCUUGUCGUUGUAGUAUUUUAGGAUGUCAAUCCAAUCCGGUGUGAUGCAAACAGAUGAGAUAUGAUCAGAAAGCUCUAAGUCAAGCCAAGCAGAUAGUUGGUUGAUUCUAACAGUCCUAGUAUGCAAUAACAGAAAUGAAGUGAAAUUAAAAGCAGGAAUGGCAAUAGCAGGCAAGUGAAUGACAAAGCAGAAAUGAUAACAGGCAAUCAAAUGGAUAAACGAUUCCUAAGGAUGGGGUAAUCGAAUAGUGUGGUCUACUUAAUCUAUUCAGGCGGUUGACAAAACUUCACAGAAGCUAUCCCUAGACAACAAGUUCAACAACAGAUUAAUUCACUCCCGUGAUAGAAAUCCUCAAGCAAAGCUAGACACUGACCUAAAUCCCUUUAGCGAUCUCUAACUAAGCAGGCAUUAUCGAAUCAACAUGUUAAAGUCAAUACCCUCUCUACAGCCAAUCCCUUGGGGUAGAGUCAGAUAUCUCUGGAAUUAAUAGGAUCCAACGCCCAUUAAACGCCUUCUGAGCGCUGGACGUCUGGACUCAUACUCCACAUUAGCCAGUGAAAUAAGCAAUAAGCGCAACUAAUCCAGAAGGGAUUCUAGUAUUCUAAACUCAACCACCUAAAACGACCAAGUAAACCACAACUAUUCUGUCCCAUCCUCAGAAAUACAGUUCACUACUCAGACAUAAUCAAAGACAAUAAUAAAGCAACAAUUGAAAACAUGAUAACAGAAAAUGACGAAAGACUUAAACGAAAACUGAAUAUCAAAUACUUGAAAACGAAACUACAAAGUCGCAGGAGAAACACUACGGCUAUCAAAGUUGCAAAAAUGUAAAAGCGAAAUAAAAAGGGAUAAUAGCGGAUGCUAGCCGACGCCCUAGGAAAACCCUAAGAGGUAGUUUAUAUAAGCGAAAAAAUGAAACAAAUAAGGAAACUAAAUAUAUAGCGAAUCUUCACGUCAUGAUCCUGCGACCGAAUGUGUCAUUGGAAUCUGACGGGCUGAAAUGAGCUUCCUAGUGAUCGAGUAUGUCAUUGAUCAAACUGGGCUUCAGGGGCUCCGUCUUGCGAUCGAGUGAAAUGCAGUGAAGUCGAGAUUGAAUGGUCCAGCGACCUUGUGAUCGAGUGAAGCGAUCGAGUGGAUGUCAUGAGGGUGUGAUCGAGUGGUUUCUUCGCCUUCUCUUCUCUUCUUUGUUCUCAGCUUGUCUGGUUGAGUGCAGAAUGAGCAGAUAGGCUUCCUGGUGAUAGAGUGGUGAUCGAGUGGUUCUGAUGGGGUGAUUCCUCCGGCUUCGCGAUUGAGUGAAACUGAGCUGUUUGCUUCUCCGGGGUUGCGAUAGAGUGAUUUGCCCUGGCAGGGCUCCGAGGCUGCGAUAGAGUACUUUUGCUGAAGGCGUCAUUGGGCAUUCUGACUUCAUGUUCUGUUUUUCCUCUGUUUGAACUCCAAAAGCAUCCAAAGUACCUGAAAACAACCAAAUAUGCCAUGCACAUGCAAUCCUAAUGCAAAAUCGUCCUAAGUAUGUAAAACACACUAAAACGACUCCUAAUGAGAUGAAAUGUGGAUGAAACAAUGACAAAGUGGUGAAGAAUGAAUGCCUAAAUCAUGCAAAUUACAAGUCCUCAGAACAAGAUGCACUUUCUCCUCAGAACGCUCAAUGUGGUGCAUGUUCUAAGUAUGUCAAUGCCCACCGUAUAGGAGAGUAGUGAAACGAGUCCGUGGAGGAGACAAGGAAGCAACUUAAUUGGGAAAACGAUGACUACAUAUGUCGUGGCCACAUUCUCAAUGGUAUGUCUGAUUCUCUCUUUGAUGU